rnacentral:rRNA from 1 species
ACGUAAUAGAUACCCUGGUAGUCCACGCCCUAAACGAUGUCUACUAGUUGUUGGUGGAGUAAAAUCCAUGAGUAAACGCAGCUAAACGCGUGAAGUAGACCGCCUGGGGAGUACGGUCGCAAGAUUAAAACUCAAAUGAAUUGACGGGGGGCCCGCACAAGCGGUGGAUUAUGUGGAUUAAUCCGAUGCAACGCGAAAACCUUACCUGGCCUUGACAUGUAACGAACUUUCCAGAGAUGGAUUGGUGCUCGAAAGAGAACGUUAACACAGGUGCUGCAUGGCUGUCGUCAGCUCGUGUCGUGAGAUGUUGGGUUAAGUCCCGCAACGAGCGCAACCCUUGCCAUUAAUUGCCAUCAUUUAGUUGGGCACUUUAAUGGGACUGCCGGUGAC